rnacentral:rRNA from 1 species
GAAGGUCACGGCGAGACGAGCCGUUUAUCAUUACGAUAGGUGUCAAGUGGAAGUGCAGUGAUGUAUGCAGCUGAGGCAUCCUAACAGACCGGUAGACUUGAACCUUGUUCCUACAUGACCCGAUCAAUUCGAUCAGGCACUCGCCAUCUAUUUUCAUUGUUCAACUCUUUGACAACACGAAAAACCAUUGUUCAACUCUUUGACAACAUGAAAAAACCAAAGGCCUCUGCCCGGCCCUCCCUCUCUAUCUAUCCAAGGGAUGGAAGGGCAG